UACGUAGGGAGCGAGCGUUGUCCGGAAUUACUGGGUGUAAAGGGAGCGUAGACGGAUGUGCAAGUCUGAUGUGAAAGGCGGGGGCUCAACCCCUGGACUGCAUUGGAAACUGUAAAUCUUGAGUGCCGGAGAGGUAAGCGGAAUUCCUAGUGUAGCGGUGAAAUGCGUAGAUAUUAGGAGGAACACCAGUGGCGAAGGCGGCUUACUGGACUGUAACUGACGUUGAGGCACGAAAGCGUGGGUAUCGAACAGG
rnacentral:rRNA from 1 species